GAGGUCCAAUAUUUCAUAUUUGCAUCACUUUCGUGUGGAAGUAUUUUAUGCCGUCAUUGAUUUGGCACUUCAAGAACUCAAUAAUCGUUUUGAUGUGGUGACUAGUGACUUGCUCCUCGGUAUGGCUAGUUUGAGUCCGGUUGAUUCAUUUGCUAAUUUUCACAAGGAUAGGAUAAUGAAACUAGCCGAGUACUACCCAAGUGAGUUUGGUGAUAAAGAGCUUCGGGAACUCAAUUUUCAACUUGAUGAUUUUAUUGUCUAUGCUCAAAAGUGUGAUAGCAAGUUUCUCAACUUGAAGGGAAUCAAGGAUCUUGCAAAAGUGAUGAUAGAGACAAAACUAGAUCAAACUUGGUCACUUGUAUAUCUACUUGUGAAGCUAACUUUGAUUAUUCCUGUUGCUACCGCAAGCGUGGAAAGAGCAUUCUCAUCAAUGAAGUACAUAAAGAAUGAUUUGCGUAAUAGGAUGGAUGAAGAUCUUUUGAAUGGUUGUUUAGUUUGCUAUAUAGAGCGUAGUAUAUUUAAAAAUGUAAGUAAUGAUGCCAUUAUUGACCGUUUUCAAAAUAUGAAAACUCGUCGAGGACAAUUGUAAGUGAAUGAUGUUUUUUACUAAUAUAUUACUAUAUAAAGAUUGCUACUACCUACUUGCUCGUCAACUUGUUCUUACCGUAAAAUUUAUAUAAUUGAAUUAAUUGUCUAUUUUGAAGAUAAUGGUGCCCCCAUGUUCUUGAGAUCCUGGAUACGCCUCUGCUCAAAGAGGUGGUGCUAUGUUUGGCCUUAUGUUGAUAGCUUCAAUUUCACUCGUAAAAAUUAUCUGAAAACAAAAGACUUUGUAUCCUUUGUAGACUAUGUAUUAGCUCGUUCCCUUUCUUCCAAAAUAAAAAAGAUUAGAGAUUGGCUGCAGCUACCUGCAUCCAUACAAAUCACAUGUUAGUAGAUGGCUUAGUAUUGCUGUUGAAAAAAAUGUGGAAGAUUUUGUAUACCGCUCAAGUUCCAAUAGUAAUGGUUGCACAUUGCCUCAAUCUUUCUACUACUGCUCGUCAUUGGUAACUUUACAUUUGACAUUUUAUUGCUUUGAUUAUGGAGCGGUUAUUAAGUGGAAGUCUCUUAAAGAAUAUAAAGUUGGAGUAUGUGGUGUUAUCCGAUGACCACUUUGUGAAAUUAUUGUCUGGUUGUCCUGCUUUAGAAACUAUGGAAGUUGAUAUGGUUGGGGGCUUUAGUCGCUUGGAAAUUAGUUCCUUAAAAAUGAAGAGACUAAAUUUGAAAGGCUUGUUGUAUUUUAGUAUUGGGAAUGAUCACUUCUUGGAAAUUCAUGCUCCAUAUCUUCAUAAUUUGGAGAUUUCAGGAUUUCAUCAGGAAUGUAGGCUGGUAGACGUGUCCUCUGUGGUGAAUGCAAAACGUUCUACACUAGAUGUACCAAAGAUGUACAUGCUCUUCUUGAAGAAGAUAUCGAUGAUGAGGAAGAUAGUUGUAAGGAUUCCCAUCAAGUUUUUGGGACCCUCGUCCAAGAUUAUCUACAAAAGUUGAGUUGUGCAAUUGAGCUUACAAUAGGAACUUGGUUUAUAGAGGUCAUGUGCAUGUUGCAACUCGAAGGAUUACAGAUUCCCGAAAUGAAAUGCAAAUAUCUAAUGCUAGAGGAGUUGGAUCUGGAUAAGCUUAAUUUGUUUGGGGUAGCUGGCCUUUUGUGAGCCUUGCCGCAUGUGGAGACACUCAACAUAGACUUUACUACAGUUGAGUUUAUGGGUAACCGCUGCCAAUCUGAGUUAAGAUAUUUGGCCAAAGGAGAAUCCAUUGGUUUGCAGAAUUGGAUAUCAAGCUUCGAGUUUCCCAACCUCAAGAAUGUUAAGAUUGUCAUCCCCUUAAGGACAUACUUGAAUGAUCAUACGAAUUGGGGCUUGGACAAGCUUUACAGACUUUCAGAAUUUUUGUUAACAAAUGCAAAGGUUUUGAAGAAGUUCGUCAUCAUAUCAAAGAGAACAAAGUCGGAGAGCAGUUGCGGGUCCAAAUAUUUGUUUCAACUUGCUGAUAAACUGACAUGUUGCCCAAGAUCUUCUACCAAUUCUAUAAUUAUGUUUAUUCAGUAGUGAGCUUUCUAUGAUUAGAUUGCAAGUUGACUUCAAAAAAGUAAGAUUUCUGUUCAGUUUACCAGAAAUGUUAGCAUAAUUAAGCUUUUUGAUUACUGUUGAUGAAAAACUUGAACUUGUU